CGUGUUGAAAGCAUACAAGACUAUCGUAGAUCCAUAUUCAAUAUGACUAUUUGAUUUUCCUUCGUCACUAUUUUAAAGUUUUGACAAUUUGAAUUUUAGUACAUCUGUUCCAACCUAGUAUGGAACUAAGACAUAUAUAAAUGUGUGAUUUGUAAAAUAAAUUUUCAUUGAAUUUAAAAUAAAAAAAAUUUAAAACAAGAAUGUGUCCAUAGUACACGGAUGCCCCACUCGCACUAUCAUUUUCUAUAUUCAGUGGACCGUGAAAUUGGGGUCAAAACUUUAAUUUGUAAUUAAAAUUAGAAAGGUCAUAUCAUAGGGAACAUGUGAACUAAGUUUCAAGUUGAUGUAACUUUAACUUCAUCAGAAACUACCUUCACCAAAAACUUAAACCUGAACUUCGCACUAUCAUUUUCUAUGUUCAGUGGACCAUGAAAUUGGGGUCAAAACUAUAUUUUGGCAUUAAAAUUAGAAAAAAAAAAAAAGAUCAUAUCAUAUCAUGGGGAACAUGUGUACUAAGUUUCAAGUUGAUUGGACUUAAACUUCUUCAAAAACUACAUUGACCAACAACUUUAACCUGAAACGAACGGACGCACGGACGGACAUACGGACGGACGGACGAACGAACGAACAGAGACACAGACCAGAAAACAUAAUGCCCAUCUACUAUCGUAGGUGGGGCAUACAAAUGUAUUGUGUUCAACAUAUUAGAUGAUGAAUAGAUUUCAUGAUGUCAUUUGACGAAAGUAUUUAACCAAUUAUUUUCGCUAGUAAUUUUAUAGUCAUCACUUCGAAAGUCUUGCAGAAGCAGGUAUGAUUUGGUUUACCGUAAUGCAAUAAUCUGUCACUUGUGAUUUGUAUUUAUUCAUGAAACAAUUCAACCUAUUUUUCUUACAAUUCUGCGUCCUUUUCUAGACAAAUAUAACAUAUCUGUAUAUGAAUCAUCAUUACAUGUUUUGAUUGUCAUGAGCGACACGACAUAGGUCAUAUUUGAAUUACCGUUCCAGGUCGUUUUAUAGUGAAUAAUAUGUGUUUGUUGGGUUGAUAUUUAUAUAACGAUAACUUGUCUGCCGAUCUUAGCCGUUUCGUUAAAUUGUCGAUUUUUAUUCAUUUCUUUGUAUUUUCUUGUAAUUUUAAAUCUUGUUGUACAUGUCAUUAUUUUAAAAUAAGUUAAUUGUACAUGAACAAUAUAUAUUUGUGAUUCAUGGUUUUGAC
rnacentral:lncRNA from 1 species